rnacentral:sRNA from 1 species
GGUGCUAUCCUAUCUGAGCUUUUUCCCACCUUCCAAGUUAUCCAUUCUCUUCUUGAUCUUGUAAGACCUUUUUCUUGGCCUUGUAAGACCUUCUUUUCUUCCUCUGUCUAUCCCUCCUGAGCUA